rnacentral:tRNA from 1 species
GGGCAGGUAGCUCAGCUAGGUAGAGCACUAGACUGAAAAUCUAGGUGUCGACGGUUCGAUCCCGUUCCUGCCCA